GAUGAACGCUGGCGGCGUGCCUAAUACAUGCAAGUCGAGCGAACAGAUAAGGAGCUUGCUCCUUUGAAGUUAGCGGCGGACGGGUGAGUAACACGUGGGUAACCUACCUAUAAGACUGGGAUAACUUCGGGAAAUCGGAGCUAAUACCGGAUAACAUUUAGAACCGCAUGGUUCUAAAGUGAAAGAUGGUUUUGCUAUCACUUAUAGAUGGACCCGCGCCGUAUUAGCUAGUUGGUAAGGUAACGGCUUACCAAGGCGACGAUACGUAGCCGACCUGAGAGGGUGAUCGGCCACACUGGAACUGAGACACGGUCCAGACUCCUACGGGAGGCAGCAGUAGGGAAUCUUCCGCAAUGGGCGAAAGCCUGACGGAGCAACGCCGCGUGAGUGAUGAAGGGUUUCGGCUCGUAAAACUCUGUUAUUAGGGAAGAACAAAUGUGUAAGUAACUGUGCACAUCUUGACGGUACCUAAUCAGAAAGCCACGGCUAACUACGUG
rnacentral:rRNA from 1 species